rnacentral:rRNA from 1 species
UGGGGAAUAUUGGACAAUGGGCGCAAGCCUGAUCCAGCCAUGCCGCGUGAGUGAUGACGGCCUUAGGGUUGUAAAGCUCUUUUACCUGGGAAGAUCAUGACGGUACCAGGAGAAUAAGCCCCGGCUAACUUCGUGCCAGCAGCCGCGGUAAUACGAAGGGGGCUAGCGUUGUUCGGAUUUACUGAGCGUAAAGGGCGCGUAGGCGGGUUUUUAAGUCAGGGGUGAAAUCCCAAGGCUCAACCUUGGAACUGCCUUUGAUACUGGAAAUCUUGAGUCCGGGAGAGGUGAGUGGAACUGCGAGUGUAGAGGUGAAAUUCGUAGAUAUUCGCAAGAACACCAGUGGCGAAGGCGGCUCACUGGCCCGGAACUGACGCUGAGGCGCGAAAGCCAGGGGAGCGAACGG